rnacentral:rRNA from 1 species
GAUGAACGCUGGCGGCGUGCCUAAUACAUGCAAGUCGAACGAAACUUCUUUAUCACCGAGUGCUUGCACUCACCGAUAAAGAGUUGAGUGGCGAACGGGUGAGUAACACGUGGGCAACCUGCCCAAAAGAGGGGGAUAACACUUGGAAACAGGUGCUAAUACCGCAUAACCAUAGUUACCGCAUGGUAACUAUGUAAAAGGUGGCUAUGCUACCGCUUUUGGAUGGGCCCGCGGCGCAUUAGCUAGUUGGUGGGGUAAAGGCUUACCAAGGCAAUGAUGCGUAGCCGAACUGAGAGGUUGAUCGGCCACAUUGGGACUGAGACACGGCCCAAACUCCUACGGGAGGCAGCAGUAGGGAAUCUUCCACAAUGGGCGAAAGCCUGAUGGAGCAACGCCGCGUGGGUGAAGAAGGUCUUCGGAUCGUAAAACCCUGUUGUUAGAGAAGAAAGUGCGUGAGAGUAACUGUUCACGUUUCGACGGUAUCUAACCAGAAAGCCACGGCUAACUACGUGCCAGCAGCCGCGGUAAUACGUAGGUGGCAAGCGUUAUCCGGAUUUAUUGGGCGUAAAGGGAACGCAGGCGGUCUUUUAAGUCUGAUGUGAAAGCCUUCGGCUUAACCGGAGUAGUGCAUUGGAAACUGGGAGACUUGAGUGCAGAAGAGGAGAGUGGAACUCCAUGUGUAGCGGUGAAAUGCGUAGAUAUAUGGAAGAACACCAGUGGCGAAAGCGGCUCUCUGGUCUG